GGGUGAGUAACGCGUAUCCAACCUUCCGUACACUCAGGGAUAGCCUUUCGAAAGAAAGAUUAAUACCUGAUGGUAUGAUGAGAUUGCAUGAUAGCAUCAUUAAAGAUUCAUCGGUGUACGAUGGGGAUGCGUUCCAUUAGGUAGUAGGCGGGGUAACGGCCCACCUAGCCUACGAUGGAUAGGGGUUCUGAGAGGAAGGUCCCCCACAUUGGAACUGAGACACGGUCCAAACUCCUACGGGAGGCAGCAGUGAGGAAUAUUGGUCAAUGGACGAGAGUCUGAACCAGCCAAGUAGCGUGAAGGAUGAAGGUCCUACGGAUUGUAAACUUCUCUUAUAAGGGAAUAAAACCUCCCACGUGUGGGAGCUUGUAUGUACCUUAUGAAUAAGCAUCGGCUAACUCCGUGCCAGCAGCCGCGGUAAUACGGAGGAUGCGAGCGUUAUCCGGAUUUAUUGGGUUUAAAGGGAGCGCAGACGGGUCGUUAAGUCAGCUGUGAAAGUUUGGGGCUCAACCUUAAAAUUGCAGUUGAUACUGGCGUCCUUGAGUGCGGUUGAGGUGUGCGGAAUUCGUGGUGUAGCGGUGAAAUGCUUAGAUAUCACGAAGAACUCCGAUUGCGAAGGCAGCACACUAAGCCGUAACUGACGUUCAUGCUCGAAAGUGUGGGUAUCAAA
rnacentral:rRNA from 1 species